CGGCGCGCGGCGGGCGGGCGGCGCGCGGCGGCUCCGGCGGGUGAGCGGCGCCGGGGGACGCUGGGCGCGCGCCGCUGCUCCCGCUCCCGGCGUCUCCUCAAUCCUGACCCGCCGCAGCCCGCACCCGCCGCGUUAAUAAUGCACUAGAAUGUCAGCGCUGAAAAAGGUUCUGCCUGGCAUACUGCAGAAGCAUUGCUGUAUUUUACCUGACAGGAACACAGGUAAACUUUUUUCUUAAUGAGUUAACAUUGUGAUAUGAUUUGGAGAAACACAAACACAAAUUGGAUUAUAUAGAGAAGUCUUGUUUGCUAUUUAUGGUCAUUGAAAUGAUCUUAUAGGGAGUGCUAACGUGGAUGUUUUGUUUAAAUUACCUGCUUUCAUGUAAAGAUUUUAUGUAUUCUGUUAACAUUCUGG
rnacentral:lncRNA from 1 species